ensembl:lncRNA
AAUUAAAUCAUAAGAUGUCAUGGUUUUGUAACUUCGCUAUUGGUAUUCCACAUCAUAACAUCAUGGACAAAAGAGAAGAACUACGUAUCCCAGAGGACCUCACGGUCAGAGAAGGAAGACACAUCACGGAAGAUACGUCAUCUGGUUGCGCGCGGUUCUUCUUCACUUUCGCUUGCUGCCAGGAGAGUGUGCUCCCAAGCCGGGAGUGCUUUCCCAAGCUUGGGUGUGCUUUCCAAGCCGGGCGCCUUCAUCAAGUUUAAACAAUCUGCUAUAUACUCAAAAAAAUUAGAAGAGAGCAGUGCUGAAGUUACUGAGCAUCAACUACACGCUAGCAUGCUGGUUCCCAUUGCACUGAACUGAAUGGUGCUGUACAGUUUUUUCUCGUUAAUGCCAUCAUCAAUACUCAGAUCACUUUCUUAAGAAGAAUUAUUCACACUGCUGCCACCUAAAUUAAUGCAGCAUUUCCAGAAUACAUUUGACUGGUAUAUAUGUAAUCAGAAAUAAACAUUUUUGGACUUCUACCCUGGAUCUAUGAGAACCAGAGUAAUAUUAAAAAUGACAUGGUGAUUUAUUCAUGUUUCUUGAUUAACUUUUUACCAUCAAAUUUGUGACAGCUAAAAACUCUUUCAGUUUUGAUGAUGAUUAAUCCAUAUGAUGUGGCAGAUAUCCAAUAAGUAUGAUACUGUGAGUUUUUCUUGAUUUUCCUGUAUCUACAAAAUUGUGUUUAUUCACUUUUCCUGUAUUAUGUGUCAAUGUCUUCCAAAUUUUUAUUUUCUCUCAUGUCCUUAUUCUUUCCAGAAAUAAUUCUUGUGAAGCAGCAUCCUCAUAUAAUUCAUUGACAUUACAGUUCUUGAUAGAGUUGUGUUUCUUGUCACAUCUCUUAUUACUUAAAUCCUAUAUUAAUUUCUUUGUAAGACUCUGGACAGAAACAGAAGUGUGACAUUUGACAGCAAAGACCAUAGUCUUAUGUAAUAGUAGACAACAGUAGUAGUCUGUUCAGCACAAUCAUUAAUUGUUCAGGUAUUCAUUCUAUUCAAACAUAUGAUUUUUUUUUUUUUUUUGAAAAAAAAAGUGAUUGAUCAUAGCCAUUGAUAAAAACCUUAUACGGAUCCUUAUAUUAAAAAUUCCCCUGUGAGUUGGUCAGAUUUCUGCUCCAGAAGUCUGCAAGGGAAAAUGUAAGAUAUCUUGGACUCUUUUUUAUUAUUAUUAUUUAGCUAUAUUGUUAUGUACAUGCAUUACAUUACACACUUGUUUGGAAAUAUUUAGCUAGUAAACAAUGUCCAUACCAGAUUCUGGGUAUACUAAACAAUAAGAGUUGUUUAGUGUAAGAACUGGGGGCCCAAAGCCUGGACACAGAACUCUAGAUGGGACCCUCACUAAGGCAGAGUAGAGGGGUAUGGUUACCUCCCUUACCUUACUGGUCACUCCUCUUUUGACACAGUCCACAGUAUGGUUAGCCUUCUGGCCUACAAGCACACACUGUUGGCUCAUAUACAGAACCUCCAAGUAUUUCUCAGAGGACUGCUCACACCGAGUUCUCCCUAUCUAUUUAGAUGUCUGGGAUUGCCUUGACCCAGAUGUUGUACCUUGCAAUUGGCUUUGUUGAAGCUCAUUAGACUCACAUGGGCGUUCUCAAGCUUGUCCAGGUCUCUGUCUCCCUUUCUACACUUUUAUAAACAUAUAUUAUUAUGUUUCCCUUUUCCCAGUCACUGGGGAAUUUUGCUCUUCUCUUAUAGUGGGAGGGAUUUUGUUCCCCCAGCCCUCACCUAGAAUUUCAAGGUCUUGAGAGACUGCCGCAUUAAAGUGUUAAUGCCCACGUCAGCACUACAGGUCCACUUGUGCUUAUCUGGACUUCUAUAACCAACAAUCAACAGUAGAUUACAUGGCCACACAAAUGAGAACUCUUAUGAUUACAAUUACAGUUUCACUCAUAGUGCAGAGCACCUUCAUCUAACCGCAUUCUAACGGACUUGAACAAUAACUCUUAAGGAGCUUGGCUGUGCCUAAUGAGAACUUUUAUGACUAGCUUGUAGAAUAGUGCUCUUUAUUGGAGCAACAGAUUACAGAUUCUUAUGAAUUGCUGGUGAUAAAUACACAGUAUACAGAGCAUGUGCAAAUAUCAAUAAUGUGAAUAAUAAAGUCAACUGUAAACACAUUAAACUAUGGAAUGAUUUUACAGAGAUUUCUAAGUUUCACAGGAAAAGGACUCAAUGUAACUGAGUGUGUGAAUCUUACACAAUAGAUGUCCCUAUGUAGGGAAAAGAGAGGCUAAGCCCGUUGACUGGUCCCAGAAGUCAGUGGUGUUCUCCUGUCUCAACUGCAGUGGUAUCUUCCCCAGUAUUCCUUCUUUUUUUUUAAGCCAGUUUUAUACAAUUUUCUUACUUUCAGACAGAACUCGAGUGACUCUAAUCAUAACUAUAUUUGUUGUGACUGGUGCAAAUAAAAAUUGAAAAGCUGCUGAGUCAGGAUGACUACUAUGCAGUUUAUCAGUUCCACAAUACCACCAAGUUCCCACCCCUGUGAUCUUAUCAUGGAGCCUGACCGAGAAGUUUCACAGCUCGUUCCACCGCCUGUGCUGUAUCUCUUAGAGUCAGCAUACCAAGCUCCCCUGAUGCUUCUAACAAUCUAAAGUUUUCAGGUGUAGCAGACCAAAGAAAAAAGCCUCAUCUGUAAUAUGCCUAGAAUUGUCUCAAACACUUGCAAGAUAGGACAAUCACCAUGACAUCAAACUGAAGGCCAAAGAGUUGGUUUGGAAGGGGGAGUUCUGUGCAAACAGGAUGAGCUUGUUCCCUCCAAAACUUCCCUGUUUUGCUGCAGAAAUUUUGUCUGCAAAACUGCAACCUGAUUUUGCCAAACUGUUUUUUGCAAACUUGUUUGUUGCAAACUUACAGAUGAGCUUGAGAGAGUGAACCCUGUAAAUUUAGAAGGCAUUGAAGGAGGCCUGAGAGAACCUCUAGGGGGCUUUGAGAUUUCGAUACUUUGAAAAUUCUGGAUGAGUUCUCCCACAAACCAAGGACCACCCCUUUGGCUGGACCAGCACUGGAACCUGGACUGGUGAUCUCUUUCUUUGCCUGUUUUGCUCUCUCUCCCCUCAUCUCUCUCUCUCUCUCUUUUCUUUCUUUUUCUCUCAUAAAGUGAUUAAUGCGAGGCUUAUUUGAUUUCUUAUAAAGUCACAUAGUUUACCCUUGCAGUUUAGAGAGAUAUAAUUGUAAGAGUGCUAAUACUUUUAAGAUAAUUGUAAUACAGAGAUUCUCAUUAAAAAAGUUGAUUGUGUCUGGACCUUGAGUAUUGUUUUACCUUGAUCUAACUGGGGGGAUUUGUGAAUCUUAUCACCAGUCCCUCCCUUCACGGACAGGAAGUGACAGCAGUGCUAUGUUGCUUAGGAAAAUAUCAUGGAACAGACGCCUUUCAUUUUCACUGUAUUCCCCACAGGUGGUUUCUUCUAUGCUUUUGUUCCUUUAAGUGUGGUAUCUCUCAAUCUGAGGUUUUCUUCUGCUGCUUCCUAAAGUAACAGUAGCUCCUGGCUCUUUUCUGUCAUGCAGAAGUGUAUCUCCUUUACCAGUUUAUUUGCUAGCUGCUAAUAAAUCCAACUAGUGAAGAUCAGGUUUGUGGCCACCUGAGGAACUUGAUCACCUACAAGUCUAUGGGUCCCAAUGAGAUGCAUCCCAGAGUCCUGAGAGAAUUUGCUGAUGUAGUUGCCAAGCCACUCUUUGUGAUAUUUGAACAGUUGUGGCAAUCAGGAGAAGACCCUGGUAACUGGAAGAAAAGGCAGCAUCAUACCCAUUUUUAAUAAGGGUAAAAGGGAUGAUCCUGAGAACUACUGUCCUAUCAGUCUCACCUCUGUACCAGGAAAGAGAGCAGAUCCUCCUGGAAGCUAUACUAAGAUACAUGGAAGGCAAGGAGGUGAAGUAGGAGAACCAGCAUGGCUUCACCAGUGCCAAAUCCUGUUUGACUAACAUGGUGGCCUUUUAUGAUGGUGUCACUGCAUCUGUGUAUAAGGGAAGAGACACUGAUGUCAUCUAUCUGGUCUUCAGUAAGGCCUUUUACAUGAUACCCCCAUUACAUUCUUCUCUCCAAAUUGGAAAUAUAUGGAUUUGAUGGGUGGACUGUUCAAUGGAUGAAGAACUGGCUGCAGGAUUGAGUCCAGAGAGUUGAACUGACUAGGAAAUUAUUCCAACAACAAAGAAAUGGCAUAUUGACUUUUUUGAUGAAGAAUGCUCAUUACACUAACAGUAAGAAAAAGUCACUUUUGUACUGACACAUGAGUAUUGUUUCUUUGUGACAUGUAUUCUGAUACUUUCUUACUUAUUUGUGUGUGUCUUACUUUGGUAUCACUAAAACAAAGGAAAAUAAACAUCACUAGCUGUGUAAAGGAGGGUCAGCUGCGAUUUAGAUCGAAAGGAAGAAAAAUGUUCAGUGUAAAACUUCACUUACGUGCCCCAAACAUACCUAUGUUCAUGGUGAUUAUCUACUAGGAAAAACCACAGUGUGAUUGCCAAAUUUACUCCUCAAGACAGAGGGAAAAGGAACAAAAGAGUCAUGUUACUGUGUUUUCCCACCAGACUUUUCUGUCAUUUGAAAAUAUGAAAAAGCUUAUACUGCUUUUUUUGGGCAGUCUAAGUACUAUUCUCAGCUCAUUAUAGUGCUUAUCCUCCUUAUCUUUUGCAGCAGUCAGAGUUGUCAAAAUGUGCAGGCAUUUUUUCCUCAGCAAAUACGUGUAGCUCCCUGGCAGAACUCUCGGGUAUCUGAGCUGGCAGCUUUGGUGCUGUCACUUGAACUGUUACGUACAUGUACUGCUGAUUAGUUCUUCUUGCUGUUGUAUUCACCCACAUCAUUGUUGCUUGUCUUGUAGAUGUUAUUUUUCUUUCAUUAUAACUUGUGCUCUUUCACUUUUUUUCACUGAGACUUCCUUGAAACUGAGAGUUAUUUUUUGUCUCAUCUUUUUAAUCACAUCAUACAAGCAAAAUAUGCAUAAAGGGGUCAUUUUCUCAUUUAGUUUUCUUUGAGAAUUAGAACUGUGAUAUUCCACUGAACAUACGUAUAUAAUGAAAGUUUAUGAGCAUGACUGAAU